GAUAAACUUUCCAGGGUUAUGGAAACCGAAUCGUAAUUUCAAAAUUUCUAGAAACUGUGGGAGUGUUGAGGAAUGUAUACGUAAAGAAAUCAUAGCAAGAAAUAUGAUAAAACACCAGCAGCUUCUCUUACACCUCCAAAAGCUUGGACUACAAAGCAGAGGUAAUGGCCAAGCCAGACCGGCCGGGAUGGUGAAACCGAA